rnacentral:rRNA from 1 species
GACAGAGGGUGCAAACGUUGUUCGGAAUUACUGGGCGUAAAGCGAGUGUAGGCGGUCUUGUAAGUCGGGUGUGAAAGCCCCGGGCUCAACCCGGGAAGUGCACUCGAAACUGCGAGGCUAGAGUAUCGGAGAGGUUGGUGGAAUUCUCGGUGUAGAGGUGAAAUUCGUAGAUAGUCGGGAGGAACACCGGUGGCGAAGGCGGCCAAACUGGACGAAUACUGACGCUGAGAACUCGGAAAGCGUGGGGAGCAAACAGG